ACGUGCCAGCAGCCGCGGUAAUACGUAGGGGGCGAGCGUUGUCCGGAAUUAUUGGGCGUAAAGGGCUCGUAGGCGGUUUGUCGCGUCGGGAGUGAAAACACCGGGCUUAACUCGGUGCUUGCUUUCGAUACGGGCAGACUAGAGGCAUGCAGGGGAGAACGGAAUUCCUGGUGUAGCGGUGAAAUGCGCAGAUAUCAGGAGGAACACCGGUGGCGAAGGCGGUUCUCUGGGCAUGUCCUGACGCUGAGGAGCGAAAGUGUGGGGAGCGAACAGGAUUAGAUACCCUGGUAGUCCACACCGUAAACGUUGGGCGCUAGGUGUGGGAUCCAUUCCACGGGUUCCGUGCCGCAGCUAACGCAUUAAGCGCCCCGCCUGGGGAGUACGGCCGCAAGGCUAAAACUCAAAGGAAUUGACGGG
rnacentral:rRNA from 1 species